rnacentral:rRNA from 1 species
GACGAACGCUGGCGGCGUGCUUAACACAUGCAAGUCGAACGGAAAGGCGCGGCUCUUGUGUGUUUCUUGUGUGGCGAACGGGGGAGUAACACGUGAGUAUCCUCCCCUUGUAUUUGUGGUAUCUUCAGGAAACUGCGGCUAUUACCGCAGAUGAGCUUCUGCUGCGUGUGGGGGGUUGGAAAGUGUCGGCGGUUGGGGAUGGACUGGCGGCUUAUCAGCUUGUUUGUGUGGUAGUGGCUUACCCGGGGUUUGACGGGUAGCCGGCCUGAGAGGGUGACCGGCCACAUUGCGACUGAGAUACGGCCCAGACUCGUACGGGAGGCAGCAGUCGGGAGUAUUGCACAGUGGGCGGAAGCCUGAUGCAGCAACGCCGCGUGCGUGAUGCCGGCCUUCGGGUUGUAAACCGCUUUCGCCUGUGACGAAGCGUGCGUGACGGUAAUUGGUCAAGAAGCACCGGCUAACUACGUG